AGUCAUAUGCUUGUCUCAAAGAUUAAGCCAUGCAUGUCUCAGUACAAGCCAAAUUAAGGUGAAACCGCGAAAGGCUCAUUAAAUCAGUUAUGGUUCCUUAGAUCGUACCCACACUUACUUGGAUAACUGUGGUAAUUCUAGAGCUAAUACAUGCAAAUAGAGCUCCAACCGGAGACGGAAGGAGCGCUUUUAUUAGAUCAAAACCAAUAGGCGGCGGUUCGCGCCGUCGCCGUUCUCUUUGGUGACUCUGAAUAACUUAUUGCUGAUCGCACGGUCUCGCACCGGCGACGCAUCUUUCAAAUGUCUGCCUUAUCAACUGUCGAUGGUAGGUUCUGCGCCUACCAUGGUUGUAACGGGUAACGGGGAAUCAGGGUUCGAUUCCGGAGAGGGAGCCUGAGAAACGGCUACCACAUCCAAGGAAGGCAGCAGGCGCGCAAAUUACCCACUCCCGGCACGGGGAGGUAGUGACGAAAAAUAACGAUACGGGACUCAUCCGAGGCCCCGUAAUCGGAAUGAGUACACUCUAAACCCUUUAACGAGGAUCAAUUGGAGGGCAAGUCUGGUGCCAGCAGCCGCGGUAAUUCCAGCUCCAUAGCGUAU
rnacentral:rRNA from 1 species